rnacentral:rRNA from 1 species
AUGGCGAGCGGGCGGCGGCCGAAGGGAUUUGGGGGUUUCUCCGUUCGCGUGCAGCGGUGGUUGGGAUUUGGGGAUUUCUCCUUCCGUGCGUCUCUGCACCCUCCUCCUCCUCCUCCUCCCCCACGCCGUGCUCCAACGGCGCCACCUCUGAUGGCCGAGGAGCAUCCUGCAGAUGCAGCACCUCGGAUGGCCGAGCAGCACAAUGCGGCCAUCAUCACCAGUCCACUGCACGACGACGAUCUGCUCGAGAGGAUCCUGACCAGCCUCCCCCGCGCCGUGCCCGUCUCCGACCGCUGGUGCCGCGUCGGGCUUCCUCAAACGCUUCCGUUUCAGCCACCCGUCGUCGCCCCUCGGCGGCGUAUUCGUGGACAACAAAAACGAGCGCAUCCCCCGCUUCCACACCGGCAUCACCACCGGCAACCCCGGCAUCGCCUCACCCGCCUCGACGAUACUGCCUCCGGGACUGCUGCAAUGGCCACCUCCUCCUCUCCGGAUCCGACGGUUCACUGUGCAUCUAUGACCCGCUCUCCGAGCGGCGUGUGCCCAUUGGCCCGCGCACGCAUCUUGACCAGCGCUGGAAGUGCCUCGGCGACUGCUUGCUUAACGGCCUUGCCCGCCAUAUGGUCUCCGUGGAGCAACACGGCCAACAGAAGCAUGCCGAGGAGUCCUUGCAGUGGCAGAGCAAUUCCAGAUUCAAUGUAUGAGCCGUUGAGUAUAACUCCGGCACGCUUGAGUGGCGCGUCCACCCACCCACAGACUGGGUGGACGAAGGUUCAGUUGACGAAAUUGCAAUUGAAGGCAAUGUAUGCAGCCGGCCACAUAUUCUGGGAAACUGAUGUCGCCAGAUUGCUGGUGCUUGACACGAGCACCAUGGAGUCCUCAGAGCACGGUGUCCCAUGGGAGAUAGUCUCUACCAGUUGGGCCAUCGGAGAGCUCCGAGACGGCAAGGGCUGCCUCGUGUGCCUCCAAGGCCUCAAUAGCUCCUUCGGCAAAGAUGGCCUCAUAGUGGAGGAACCUCUCCGCCUGGAAGUCUGGGCACUAAAGAAGGAGGAGGAGGAUAAGCAAGGUAAAUUUUGUUGCAAGUGCGAGAAGGGUGUCCGGGUGAGCGAGAUGCUCCCGGAGGACGCUCGCUCGUGUGUGUAG